CAAGUCGAACGGGAUCUGACCAGCUUGCUGGUUGGUGAGAGUGGCGAACGGGUGAGUAAUGCGUGACCAACCUGCCCCAUGCUCCAGAAUAGCUCUUGGAAACGGGUGGUAAAUGCUGGAUGCUCCAACUUGACGCAUGUCUUGUUGGGAAAGUGUUUAGUGGCAUGGGAUGGGGUCGCGUCCUAUCAGCUUGUAGGCGGGGUAAUGGCCCACCUAGGCUUCGACGGGUAGCCGGCCUGAGAGGGCGGACGGCCACAUUGGGACUGAGAUACGGCCCAGACUCCUACGGGAGGCAGCAGUGGGGAAUAUUGCGCAAUGGGGGAAACCCUGACGCAGCGACGCCGCGUGCGGGAUGAAGGCCUUCGGGUUGUAAACCGCUUUUGAUUGGGAGCAAGCCUUUGGGUGAGUGUACCUUUCGAAUAAGCGCCGGCUAACUACGUGCCAGCAGCCGCGGUAAAU
rnacentral:rRNA from 1 species